CUACUAUUAGGAGGGUCUAGUAGUGGCCUAUCUUUUGGCUGAAUACAAUAUCAACUUCAUCAACGCUAUAAGGUGCUUUUUUGGACAAUUGAGCACAUAGCAUGCAGCAUGGUCGGGGCAGGACAAGCUUCAACAUGCUGUCCCAGCACUAUGGCUCAGCCGAGACCUGGACAGGCCAACUCUGCCAGUCCCUGAGCCAUGAAGCCUGCCUUCUUCCUGGAGGAUGCAAUCUUUUGAAGAAGAUACUUAGUGCACAGGAGCAGAAUAUAUGACUAUGCCAACUUGGUCACUGUGAAUUUGUUUCACACAUUCUGACAUUUGCCUCAAACCAGAAACAAAAGUCACGUGGCUUAACAGCUUGCAAUAGUUCAGUUUUUAAGACCGUCCUCCUUGAGACGGGAUCAAGACACCAAAU